AACGAACGCUGGCGGCAUGCCUAACACAUGCAAGUCGAACGCCAUGGCUUCGGCCAUGGAGUGGCGCACGGGUGAGUAACGCGUGGGAACCUGCCCAGCAGUAUGGGACAACCGCGGGAAACUGCGGCUAAUACCGUAUACGCCCGUCUUUGGGAGACCAGGGGCGGGGAAAGAUUGAUCGCUGUUGGAGGGGCCCGCGGCGGAUUAGGUAGUUGGUGGGGUAAAGGCCUACCAAGCCUGCGAUCCGUAGCUGGUCUGAGAGGAUGAUCAGCCACACUGGGACUGAGACACGGCCCAGACUCCUACGGGAGGCAGCAGUGGGGAAUAUUGGACAAUGGGCGCAAGCCUGAUCCAGCAAUGCCGCGUGAGUGAUGAAGGCCUUAGGGUUGUAAAGCUCUUUCACACGCGACGAUGAUGACGGUAGCGUGAGAAGAAGCCCCGGCUAACUCCGUGCCAGCAGCCGCGGUAA
rnacentral:rRNA from 1 species